rnacentral:pre_miRNA from 1 species
UCUUAUGGAUGAUCAAAGAAAAUGAUUUCUUGAGAUGGAAUCUACUCCUGAUGAAGAUAUUGUGAU